CUAAGGUAGCGAAAUUCCUUGUCGGGUAAGUUCCGACCUGCACGAAUGGCGUAACGACUUCCCCACUGUCUCGACCAGGAGCUCGGCGAAAUUGCAGUACGAGUAAAGAUGCUCGUUAAGCGCAGAAGGACGAAAAGACCCCGGGACCUUUACUAUACCUUGGUAUUGGCGUUAGGCGCGGAUUGUGUAGCAUAGGCGGGAGGCUUCGAAGCGGUGGCGCCAGCCAUCGUGGAGCCGCAAGGUGAAAUACCGCUCUGUUCUCGUUUGACGUCUCACCUCGAACAGUCAUCCUGUUCAGGGACAGUGCCUGGCGGGUAGUUUAACUGGGGCGGUUGCCUCCCAAAGAGUAACGGAGGCGCUCAAAGGUCCGCUCAGCCCGGUUGGCAAUCGGGUUUCGAGUGUAAUCGCACAAGCGGGCUUGACUGCGAGAACGACGGUUCGGGCAGGGACGAAAGUCGGAGAUAGUGAUCCGGUGCCGGCGCACGGGCGCGGCAUCGCUCAACGGAUAAAAGGUACCCCGGGGAUAACAGGCUGAUCAUUCCCAAGAGUCCAUAUCGACGGGAUGGUUUGGCACCUCGAUGUCGGCUCGUCGCAUCCUGGGGCUGGAGCAGGUCCCAAGGGUUCGGCUGUUCGCCGAUUAAAGCGGCACGCGAGCUGGGUUCAGAACGUCGUGAGACAGUUUGGUCUCUAUCCUCUGCGCUCGUUGGAAUCCUGAGGAGGCCUGCCCAUAGUACGAGAGGACCUGGGUGGACGAACCUCUGGUAUGCCGGUUGUCGCGCCAGCGGCAUGGCCGGUUGGCUACGUUCGGGAGGGAUAACCGCUGAAAGCAUCUAAGCGGGAAGCCUGCUCCAAGAUUAGGAUUCCUUGACGCUCCUCGGAGCGUUUGUAGCCCGCAUGUUGAACACGUGUUCGAUAGGCCGGAGGUGGAAGUCCCGCGAGGGAUGGAGCCGACCGGUACUAACGGGCGAACGCGGCACAC
rnacentral:rRNA from 1 species